CAACUAGGAUAAAGCCUUCACUCAGAAAACAAGCACAGUAGCUUGAGGUUGCUUGCCUCCGACUCUGUGCUCUUCUCGCUCAGAGUCAGUGCAUAAUCAGCAGAUAAACAAUUCCCAAGGCAAACCACUGUAGAGAAAGGCUUGAAAGAUAAAAAGAUAAGAAGAACCGAUUACCCUUCUUUAUUAGCUUUCCUUUCUAAAGGCACCUCAAUGGACACUUGUGAGAAAGUAAAUAAGCAGAGCUUAAUCUGUAACUAUUAUGUAGCACUAAGUUCAUUCGGUAGAGGCAAUCAAUUGUCACCUGCUGAACAAAAGCGGCAAGCCAGAGCCUUCCUCCUCCAGCUCCCUUAAAUGGAAUCAAAUACUUAUUUUGGAUGGAAGCAAAAAACCAGCACAGCUCUCCAAGGCUGGCUCCUCAGCACCAAGUGAGAUACUGAAUGAAGUCUGACACUAUCAAUGUGUGAGGAUCAAUAUACGAUUUAAGCUGUAGUAAUGUUUCUUUUACAAAUGUGAGUGCUUUGUGUUUGGGAAAUAAAUGUGAAGAAUUGAAAUGUCAUCUUGGAUUUUUCCUUUGGUCCCACCUUUUACUUUUCACUACCUCCCAAUGAUGUCAUCACAGCAUAUGCUCAUCAGUUGAUUAAUCUACACAUGAAGAUGGAACUCUCAUGACCCAACAACUUUCUCAAAGCUCAUCAGAAGGCAAUGAAGACCUUCAACACAUGAGUCUUUGGGGAAGUUCAGACUCAAACAAGAAACUAUCUUCUCCC